UGGACCGGUGAUGACAUGGCCUGGAAUAAGAGUCACGGAGAUGAUGAUUACGAUGUCUGCAACUCUGAGGUCCAC